rnacentral:rRNA from 1 species
AGACGGGACCCGCACAAGCGGUGGAUGAUGUGGAUUAAUUCGAUGCAACGCGAAAACCUUACCUACCCUUGACAUGUCUGGAACCUUGCUGAGAGGCGAGGGUGCCUUCGGGAGCCAGAACACAGGUGCUGCAUGGCUGUCGUCAGCUCGUGUCGUGAGAUGUUGGGUUAAGUCCCGCAACGAGCGCAACCCUUGUCAUUAGUUGCCAUCAUUUAGUUGGGCACUCUAAUGAGACUGCCGGUGACAAACCGGAGGAAGGUGGGGAUGACGUCAAGUCCUCAUGGCCCUUAUGGGUAGGGCUUCACACGUCAUACAAUGGUCGGUACAGAGGGUUGCCAAGCCGCGAGGUGGAGCCAAUCCCUUAAAGCCGAUCGUAGUCCGGAUCGUAGUCUGCAACUCGACUGCGUGAAGUUGGAAUCGCUAGUAAUCGUAGAUCAGCAUGCUACGGUGAAUACGUUCCCGGGCCUU